CUGUGUGGAUCAGCCGACAAACUCAAUGAUAAUUGCUCCGACUUUUGAAUCUAUAAAUAGAAUAACAAAAGGAAGGAAACGAAAUUUUAAACUGAUUUCCGCCAUUACAAAAAUAACAUGAAACCUACAGUUCACGACACAUCGCAUAGGAAUUUAAAAUAAAUAUUAGGCCUAUAGGUUUAAUACAUAUUUCUUAGAAUAUAGAAAUUUAGAUCUAGUGUUCUGGUUAGUAGUUAUUUCAUGUUUAUUAGAAUAUAGUCUAGAUUCUAGAAUCUAAUCAUACGGCUGCAUAAAAAGAAAACCCAUCUAGAUCUAGAGAAGCGGAGUGUUUUCCGCACUCAAGAGGAAGGAGGUUGCAGGGAACUUAGAGACUAAUCUUUGCCAACAUACUGGAUUUCUGGUGAUGACAAUAGGAGCAAAUAGUAUGCGGCUCAGUUAAUACUAAAAACAAUUGAUUUUAGUAAUAAGUGGACUAUGAGUGUGUGUUUGGCCAUCCAGAUUUCAUAACUACAACUGAUGUUCAAUUACAAGGGAUAUUAAUCAGUCUCCGUGGACUAUACACUGUGCCUAGUUUCAUCCUCAGAGACUGAUGUGUAAGCUUAAAGUAAAGACAUCAAAUCAAAGUAUCAGCUAUCAAGAGGAAGAACAUUCAAAAUCAUAUUGUGAUACACAAAUCAAGCAAGUCUAUAACCAGCAAUAUGAUACAGGCCAAGAAAAAGCUGGAUAUUUGAUUGGAAGGGUGGCACAAAAAAGAUGGGUUAUCACUAGGGAAACAAGCUCGGAAUACAGUUCACUGUUGGG